rnacentral:rRNA from 1 species
AUUGAACGCUGGCGGAAUGCUUUACACAUGCAAGUCGAGCGGCAGCGCGGGGCAACCUGGCGGCGAGCGGCGAACGGGUGAGUAAUACAUCGGAACGUGCCCAGACGUGGGGGAUAACUACUCGAAAGAGUGGCUAAUACCGCAUACGAUCUAAGGAUGAAAGCGGGGGAUCGCAAGACCUCGCGCGUUUGGAGCGGCCGAUGGCAGAUUAGGUAGUUGGUGGGGUAAAGGCUUACCAAGCCCGCGAUCUGUAGCUGGUCUGAGAGGAUGAUCAGCCACACUGGGACUGAGACACGGCCCAGACUCCUACGGGAGGCAGCAGUGGGGAAUCUUGCGCAAUGGGGGCAACCCUGACGCAGCCAUGCCGCGUGAAUGAUGAAGGCCUUAGGGUUGUAAAGUUCUUUUGCCCGUGACGAUGAUGACGGUAACGGGAGAAUAAGCUCCGGCUAACUUCGUGCCAGCAGCCGCGGUAAUG